rnacentral:rRNA from 1 species
GUGGAUUAGAUACCCUAGUAGUCCUGGCAGUAAACGGUGUGCGCUUGGUGUGAGGGGAUUCGACCCCCCUUGUGCCGGAGCUAACGCGUUAAGCGCACCGCCUGGGAAGUACGGCCGCAAGGCUAAAACUCAAAGAAAUUGACGGGGACCCGCACAAGCGGUGGAGUAUGUGGCUUAAUUCGAUGCAACGCGAAGAACCUUACCUAGGCUUGACAUGCAUCUCUAAGCGCGUGAAAGCGCGUGACCCUUCGGGGGAUUUGCACAGGUGCUGCACGGCUGUCGCCAACU